UACGUAGGGGGCGAGCGUUGUCCGGAAUUACUGGGCGUAAAGAGCUCGUAGGUGGUUUGUCGCGUUGUUCGUGAAAACUCACAGCUUAACUGUGGGCGUGCGGGCGAUACGGGCAGACUGGAGUACUGCAGGGGAGACUGGAAUUCCUGGUGUAGCGGUGGAAUGCGCAGAUAUCAGGAGGAACACCGGUGGCGAAGGCACUUUACUGGGCUAUUACUAACACUCAGAGACGAAAGCUAGGGUAGCAAAUGGG
rnacentral:rRNA from 1 species